rnacentral:rRNA from 1 species
AACGAACGCUGGCGGCAGGCUUAACACAUGCAAGUCGAGCGCCCCGCAAGGGGAGCGGCAGACGGGUGAGUAACGCGUGGGAACGUACCCUUUGCUACGGAAUAGCUCCGGGAAACUGGAAUUAAUACCGUAUGUGCCCUACGGGGGAAAGAUUUAUCGGCAAAGGAUCGGCCCGCGUUGGAUUAGCUAGUUGGUGGGGUAAUGGCCUACCAAGGCGACGAUCCAUAGCUGGUCUGAGAGGAUGAUCAGCCACAUUGGGACUGAGACACGGCCCAAACUCCUACGGGAGGCAGCAGUGGGGAAUAUUGGACAAUGGGCGCAAGCCUGAUCCAGCCAUGCCGCGUGAGUGAUGAAGGCCCUAGGGUUGUAAAGCUCUUUCAACGGUGAAGAUAAUGACGGUAACCGUAGAAGAAGCCCCGGCUAACUUCGUGCCAGCCGCCGCGGUAAAAC